rnacentral:lncRNA from 1 species
CAAACUUUCAUCCAGUGCCUGGGAGGAUUAUCCCCAGUGAUAAAGUUUAAAGGGAUGGCAGCAGUCAAGAAUAAAGCUGUGCAUUGAUUUCAUCAUAAGUCCAAAAUACUGACUGCAUGUACAAAUAUGAAUAUAGUUACAUAUUUAUAAAUAUUAUAUUUUAUAUGUAAUUAUAUAAUUGUUAACAGUAUGUUUAUAUAUCUCUUAACUGAUUAUUAACUGAUCAAAAGCAAUCUGCUGGAUAAUACAUAAAUUAUCAAUACUACUAUGUUUUAAAACACAUAACUAUAUUUUUAUCUUGAUUUUCCCUAUCUUACAUGGAAAUUUUCAAUAAUUUACAAACAUCAAUAAAAUUCAACAACCUGGGCUGGGCGCAGUGGCUCAUGCCUGUAAUCCCAGCACUUUGGGAGGCCAAGGCAGGCGGAUCACGAGUUCAGGAGAUUGAGCCCAUCCUGGCUAACAUGGUGAAACCCCAUCUCUACUAAAAAAUACAAAAAAUUAGCUGGGUGUGGUGGCGGCCGCCUGUAGUCCCCGCUACUCGGGAGGCUGAGGCAGGAGAACGGAGUGAACCUGGGAGGUGGAGCUUGCAGUGAGCUGAGAUUGCGCCACUGCAUUCCAGCCUGGGUGACAGAGCGAGACUCUGUCUCAAAAAGAAAAAAAAAAAAUUCAACAACCUAAUUCCCAUUGCAAAUAUUUUUCUUUCACAUUUUUUCUCCACCUAAUUUCUAAACACUAGUAGUAACUAACAGCACAUCAUUAAUAACUCCAACUUUCCAAAAACACUAGACAGGAUGGAAAUUAACUAUAAAACAAAUCUAAUUAACUUAUGGCUAGAGAUUCUGACUUUUAGCAACUUCUCAGUGAUGAAGGUAAGUAAACCCUUUCACUCAUGAGUCAACAUGCUUAAGUAUUUGUUCCAGAAAACUAUUGCCUAGGAAAAUAAGUCUAUAACCAAUAACUAACUUGACUGUGUAAAUUCCUGCAAGUACAUCUGUCUGGACAAAGAGUUUGUUGAAAUGGAGAAGCGGUUCUCUUACCGAGACAAUAGACUGCUCACCUAGGAACCAGCUCGUUAACCAAACAGCAGUUUACUACCAAGACUCACUUCAAAACUCACGCUUUGUUGCACCUACCAAUCCAAAUUAUAUGAUGACAUAAAAUUUGUCCAAUUCUCAGUCAGUCCUUUGUGUUGAACAACCCAUCGUUUUUUUGUUGUUGUUUUGUUUUGUGUUGUUUUUUUUUUUUUGAGACAGAGUCUUGCUCUGUUGCCCAGGCUGGAGUGCAGUGGCAUGAUCUCAGCUCACUGCAACCUCUGCCUCCUGGGUUCAAGCAAUUCUCUGCCUCAGCCUCCUGAGUAGCUGGGAUUACAGGUGCCUGCCACCACGCCCAGCUAAUUUUUUUGUAUUUUUAGUAGAGACGGGAUUUCACCAUCUUGGCCAGGCUGGUCUUGAACUCCUGACCUCGUGAUCCACCCACCUCAGCCUCCCAAAGUUCUGGGACUACAGGCAUGAGCCACCGCGCCUGGCUGAAAGACCCAUCUUAAACCACUUGAUCCCAAACAACAAAACCCUUCCAAUAACUUCUCCUGACCUCCCCUCUGACACACUCUGAAGUCUGUCAAAGUGGUAUCUGCCUUUACUGCAGGGGAUCCUAUAAACUUAGCUUUGCUUGACUAAUAGUUUUUUGGGGAGUUCACCACGUCAACACCUCUACCUAUCUGUGAGUUAAGUUUGUUUCCUUAAAUAUGAUUCAUUUAAGCUUCAAAUUCUAGUCUGGGCUAUGAGGAAGGCAAUUAUCGGUGAGAAUUCACAAAUGGCUGCUUGCUCUCAUCCAAAAUUGUCCCUUUCAGCUUCCUGGAGCCCACUUCAGAAAUUCUCACUUCUACUUGUCUUCGAAAAGUGGCUCUUCCCUUCUGUGGAGAAAGCAGUUACUAGGACAUUAUAAAAUUGCCCCACCAGGUAGCUAUUCCAAGAGUUUUGUUUAUUUUGUACUGCUGGUGCCUGGCAUAGUCUCUGUAUUUCUGUUGUCUGAAAAAUUCAUUUAAGACCUCAAUUCUGAAAGUAACAGGAGAGAUGUACUGUUAACAUUCUAAAGUAAGGUACUAAGUGCCUUCCUCAUGGAACUUAGUUAUAAAAUUGCAAAACUAGGCAUGUAACCUUUACUGCAUCAUCCACCACCAGCCUAUAAAAAGAAGACUACAGAUUUGAAAGUGGGCUUGGGGAGCCUAAAGAGUUGCUAGCCUAGUAAAGACAUUUUUUGCAUCUUCUUCCCUGUCCCAUCUGAUUUUAUCAUUUGUUUAUUAUAUUGGGAUCCAUAACUGGUAAAACAUUUUACAUUGAGACUCAGUGCAGAAAUACAUAUAUGUGUGUUUGGAUGUAUGUGUGUGUGUGUGUGUGUGUGUGUGUAUAAACUGAAACAAAGUUUCAUAAAAUAAUACCUAUCCUUGCUAUGUGUGAUGCACUCUGAUAUUUUCUAUAAUGAUCCAUUGUAUUCUAUUUUAUCAUUUUUAAAACAUAGUUUCCAACUACUAAAUGAAUUUAACAAACAAUGAACCACAACCUCAAGUUGAAAAACACUCUCAGAGAUAUGCCUAUAGAAAUUGGGACAUCUAAUCAAAUGGGAGUGAGCUUCUUAGUCUGGGCUGGGUGUCUUCAAUCAGCUUUGGCUUCAGAAUAUCCAUCCAGGGAAGUCAUAGACCAAAGUGAGUCAGGCUAAGUUGAUUCAAUACUUGCUAACCAGUCACAACCCACAGAAUGAAAACCACUAACAAAACCCCGGUGCAUUCCUAGACUUUGUUUGGAUUGCUAAUUCUCCAAUAAGAUUGGGAGAAAUAAGAGCCAGUAAACCUCUGCCUGGCAGUUAAUCCUUGUGACACAAUUUUUCACAAUGUUCUCUUUUCUUUCUCUAGGGAUUGGUGGUUCUAAGUCCCAGGAUGUGAAAAUAAAUAGGAGAUUUGUUCAAGUCUCCUGGUAGCUGGAGAAGAAAUGGCUCUCUCAACUCCCAGUUGAGGGCAAUAACAAUGAAUGUUCUCUUGGGAAGAAAAAAUUUUUACUUGGAGAGAAGUAACUCCAUUCCAAGGCCUGGAUACACACUGUGUGGCAGGCUUUGCCUGGGUCUGUACCUGUGUGUGAAUGCAAACACCUUUCAUCAUUAUCUCCCAGAAAAGAAAGAUCUUUCUCCGUAUCUUCUGAAAAAAAAAAAAAAAAAACACAAUAUAGAGAAAUUUUUAAGAUUCCAAAAAUCCUAAUAAUCAUCAGAGUUGAGCAAUAUUGUAAAUACAUCCUUUAACUUCUAUUGAGAAAAACAGCAGUAUAUGUGAAACUAGAAAAAUAAUUUUUAUAAUUCUAACAAUAUAUACAGCUGAUUUUCCAUCUCUUCAGAAACAAAGACUCUUAGCCAAUUUCCUAGUCUGCUGUAGAUCCUCCCACUAAAACAGAGUGCUGUACUUAGACAUGAAAAGAAGUUGUAAAACCUCCCUUUUAAAAAUUCAAAUAGACCGCCAGUUCAUCUUGAAUGACGUAAGGCAGAAAGCAGGAAAGGGUAAGAGAAAUAAGCAGGAAAGGGUAAGAGAAAUGGAGAGUAUCACUGUUCUUAAGUUCAGCAAAACUGACCUUGCCCAAGCAAAAGGAAUGGCUCCAGAAUCAAGUUAAUGGUGGCAAAAGAAGUUACCCAAAGAGUGCAGACUAAAAAAAAGCCUGAAGGCACAUGUGCACACAAUUGGCUCAUAAACCACCACCUGAUCUAAGCCAUGAAAGCAAGCAAGACUGGACUACCCCUUCCUGCGUCUCAAUGACAUCCUCUGCUCACAAGCUUAAUGGUUCCCUUGUUCCCUCAAGGCCAACAGUCACAGUUCCUUCAGUCUCGGGACCUGUGGGUGCUGGGGACAGGAGAGAGCACAGUGUAACCCUCCUUGGAUGAAUGCCUCCAGAAGUGGUUGUUUCGUGCCCUCCCCAGCAAUGCCUUUUUCUGGCUGGUAGUGACUGGGAAGGGGAUUGAUGACAAGCACAAAAAUAGAACUGCCCAGAAAGGAACACGAAGCUCCAUGAUGGCUCUCAUAAAGCUGCCUGAAAAACAUUCUAUCUGGUAACCACUUCCACUCAUGCCAGUGGAAUUAAAGUCUCUGCUAAAAUAGAAGGAAAUAUUUUUUUUUAAAAUGUAACUAAUAUGUUUCUUUAUUAUUUAACCUUAUGAAAACACAGUGAAAAAGUCAAGAAAAAGAUAAUGCAAAUUUUCCCAUUUUGCAGAUAAAGGAAUGAACCCACCUAAGUGGAGAUUUGCCUAAUAUUACUCAUAUAGUAAGUGGCACAGCCAAGACUCAAGUCAGUGACAGCUCCAAGGUACAUGUUCUUUCUUCAAACUUGUCAGCUGAGGAAGAGGUAGGUAGGAUCUUGGGGAGGAGCAAUGAGUUGGUAUGUGAUGAGGCAUUUGGCAACAGCCCUGUCCUGAAGGCCCAGAAGCCAUCUCUACAUCCUUUCCUGUGCUGAGGUUCUAAUAUUUAACAUAACGUUUCAUUUCUAGAUGUUAGUAAGUUUUAUUACCUCUGUGUUACAUUUUAUUGAAUAAUAUUUGCCUAUAAAUUUUAUUUGGGAUGAUGUAAUUUAUUAAAUUAUUUGAGGAUGAGCAUAUGUAAUCCUAAAGAUCUGUAUGUUUUUUCGUUUUUAGAAAGAAUGAGCAGUCUGUUUAAUUGUGUCCUCUCUCUCGAGCCAUUUAAAUUAAUUUUAAAGAGAUGCUUUAAAACAUUCAAACACACACAUUCCACAUUAUUCUCACAGUUUUCCCACUGCAGAAAAUUCUGAUAUCAGAGCCCAUCAAGGUCCUGG